rnacentral:lncRNA from 1 species
UCUUGGAUUCAAAGUUUUCAACAAGGAUUUUUUUGAAUGUGAUUCGGCCAAGUUUGUCAAGUGAUUGUGAUUGGGCCAAGUUUUCUCUUAUUUAAUUGAUUUCGGUUUUUCUGGUUUCUAAGGCUAAAAAACUGACCCGAACCGAACAAAACCGGUUCGGUUUGAACCGGUUCUCAGUUCGGUUCGGGUUAUAUUAACAAGGAAUAGUAUUUUCCGAUUCGGUUGAAUUUUUAUGUUAAAACCGGACCGAACCGGACCAUGAACACCCCUAGU